GCUGUAGCCCAGCAGUAGAGCAUCUGCUUUUCCUGCAGAAGGUAUUGGGUUCAAUCCUCAACAUCUCCA